AACGAACGCUGGCGGCGUGUUUAAGACAUGCAAGUCGCACGGGGCAAGUUGAGUAGUAAUACGAUUCUUGUUCAGUGGCGCACGGGUGAGUAACACGUGAAUUACAUGCCCUUCAGUGGGGAAUAGCCCAGGGAAACUUGGAUUAAUACCCCAUGGUAUCGCAAGAUUAAAGGUGGCCGCAAGGCUGUCGCUGAAGGAUU
rnacentral:rRNA from 1 species